AUGGCAUCACGAGACGGCAUUCGUUUUGUGAUUAAAGCUGAGGUGCUUAGAGAUGAGUGUGCGUCUGAUUAGCUAGUUGGUGCGGUAACGGCGCACCGAAGGCGACGAUCAGUAGGGGGCGUGAGAGCGUGGACCCCCCACACGGGUACUGAGACACGGACCCGACUCCUACGGGAGGCAGCAGUAAGGAAUAUUGGUCAAUGGAGGAAACUCUGAACCAGCCAUCCCGCGUGCAGGAAGAAUGCCCUAUGGGUUGUAAACUGCUUUUAUCUGGGAAGAAAAGUCGGGAUUUAUCCUGAUCUGACGGUACCAGAGGAAUAAGCACCGGCUAACUCCGUG
rnacentral:rRNA from 1 species